rnacentral:rRNA from 1 species
UUGGAGGGCAAGUCUGGUGCCAGCAGCCGCGGUAAUUCCAGCCCCAAUAGCGUAUAUUAAAGUUGUUGCAGUUAAAAAGCUCGUAGUUGAAUUUCGGGGUUCUACCGUUGGUCGGGCUUUGUCUGUACUGGUGUGUAGAAUUUCUACCUUCUGGGGAACCAUCAUGCUAUUAAUUUAGCGUGGUGGGAAACCAGGACCUUUACCUUGAAAAAAUUAGUGUGUUCAAAGCAGGCUUAUGUCUGAAUACAUUAGCGUGGAAUAAUAGAAUAGGACGGUGGUCCUGUUUUGUUGGUUUCUGAAUCACCGUAAUGAUUAAUAGGGAUAGUUGGGGGCAUUAGUAUUCAAUUGUCAGAGGUGAAAUUCUUGGAUUUAUUGAAGACUAACUUCUGCGAAAGCAUUUGCCAAGGAUGUUUUCAUUAAUCAAGAACGAAAGUUAGGGGAUCGAAGACGAUCAGAUACCGUCGUAGUCUUAACCAUAAACUAUGCCGACUAGGGAUCGGACGAUGUUAAUUUUUCUUGACUCGUUCGGCGCCUUACGGGAAAC